AUGCACUCGUAACAGAGUAUUUUGACAGUGCGGUAUUAGUACUUUUACUUAAGUAAAGAAUCCAAAUUCUUCUUCCACCGCUGGUACCCGCACUAUUACGUGC